rnacentral:lncRNA from 1 species
CCCUUGGAUUCUCUCCAAUCACUUUUAAGUAAGGGUUGUGAUAGAAUUAAGUAAGGGGUGUUGCUGAUUUUGGAGGGAUGAAUCAAGGAUUGAUUGAUUGAUGAAAUUAUUCCUUGUUUGUGUAGGUAUGAGAUGCCUAUUUAAAGGGACCAGGCGUGAUGCAUAAGGGAAUUGGAGCCUUCAAUCAGCCGCCACCCUCUCCCUCCUUCUUCCCUUUGGCGUGAGCAAGAGAGAAAGAAGAAGAGCCGUCGUCUUCUUCUUCCUCCCCUUCAACGUCUGUCGUCUUCCUUCUUCUUCCUCUCAAA